rnacentral:rRNA from 1 species
UAGGCGCGGGACUAGCCCCCGCGGGUUGGUGUUAUACCAACUGCCCGGGGACAGUGCGUCGCGAUGUAUUUCUCCACCCCCGGCCGCCGUGCGUCAUGCUCCAAGUGGCGCAACGGUCCGAGGGGUGGCUUUUGGGGCUGGGCUAGAUCCAGAUCGCGACUGUCACUGCCCUUCGAGGCGGGGGCGGUGACGGGUGUGUGGCGGCGGUAGGUGAGGGACGGUAGUGGCCGGUGG